CCUANGGGUGGCUGCAGUCGAGGAUAUUUAGCAAUGCCCGAAAGGGUGACUAUGCGACGCCGCGUGUGCGAUGAAGGUCUUCGGAUCGUAAAGCACUGUCAGCUGGGAGGAAUCUCGGGGGAUCGAACAGAUCCGCCGGGUGACAGUACCAGCAGAGGAAGCCACGGCUAACUCCGUGCCAGCAGCCGCGGUAAUACGGAGGUGGCAGGCGUUACUCGGAUUGAUUGGGUGUAAAGGGUGUGUAGGCGGUGCGCUAAGUCGAAUGUGAAAUCCCUUGGCUUAACCAAGGAACUGCAUUCGAAACUGGCGUGCUUGAGUGAUGGAGAGGAAAGUGGAAUUCCCGGUGUAACAGUGAAAUGUGUAGAUAUCGGGAGGAACACCAGUGGCGAAGGCGACUUUCUGGACAUCUACUGACGCUGAAACACGAGAGCAUGGGGAGCAAACAGGAUUAGAUACCCUGNUANUC
rnacentral:rRNA from 1 species